rnacentral:rRNA from 1 species
GACGAACGCUGGCGGCGUGCUUAACACAUGCAAGUCGAACGGAAAGGCCCUGCUUGUGUGGGGUGCUCGAGUGGCGAACGGGUGAGUAACACGUGAGUAACCUGCCCUUGACUUUGGGAUAACUUCAGGAAACGGGGGCUAAUACAGGAUAGGAGAUCCUGCUGCGUGGUGGGGGGUGGAAAGUUUCGGCGGUUGGGGAUGGAUGCGCGGCUGAUGAGCUUGUUGGUGGGGGAGUGGCUUACCAAGGCUGUGACGGGUAGCCGGCCUGGGAGGGUGACCGGCCACAUUGGGACUGAGAUACGGCGCAGACUCCUACGGGAGGCAGCAGUGGGGAAUAUUGCACAAUGGGCGGAAGCCCGAUGCAGCAACGCCGCGUGCGGGAUGACGGCCUUCGGGUUGUAAACCGCUUUCGCCUGUGACGAAGCGUGAGUGACGGUAAUGGGUAAAGAAGCACCGGCUAACUACGUG